rnacentral:rRNA from 1 species
GUCCUAGCCGUAAACGGUGCACGUUUGCUGUAAAAGGAAUCGACCCCUUUUGUGGCGGAGCCAACGCGUUAAACGUGCCGCCUGGGAAGUACGGUCGCAAGAUUAAAACUCAAAGAAAUUGACGGGGGCCUGCACAAGCGGUGGAGUAUGUGGCUCAAUUCGAUGCAACGCGAAGAACCUUACCUGGCCUUGACAUGUAUGUAGUAGAAGGGUGAAAGCCUGACGAGGUAGCAAUACCAGCAUACACAGGUGCUGCAUGGCUGUCGU